CAGCAGCCACGGUAAUACAGAGGGUGCGAGCGUUAAUCGGAUUUACUGGGCGUAAAGCGUGCGUAGGCGGAUUUUUAAGUCGGAUGUGAAAUCCCUGAGCUUAACUUAGGAAUUGCAUUCGAUACUGGGAAGCUAGAGUAUGGGAGAGGAUGGUAGAAUUCCAGGUGUAGCGGUGAAAUGCGUAGAGAUCUGGAGGAAUACCGAUGGCGAAGGCAGCCAUCUGGCCUAAUACUGACGCUGAGGUACGAAAGCAUGGGGAGCAAACAGGAUUAGAUACCCCCGUAGUCCCUGUCUCUUAUAC
rnacentral:rRNA from 1 species